rnacentral:rRNA from 1 species
CCUACGGGAGGCAGCAGUGAGGAAUAUUGGACAAUGGGCGCAAGCCUGAUCCAGCCAUGCCGCGUGCAGGAAGAAGCAUCUAUGGUGUGUAAACUGCUUUUGUACAGGAAGAAACACUCCCUCGUGAGGGAGCUUGACGGUACUGUAAGAAUAAGGACCGGCUAACUCCGUGCCAGCAGCCACGGUAAUACGGAGGGUCCGAGCGUUAUCCGGAAUCAUUGGGUUUAAAGGGUCCGUAGGCGGUUUAAUAAGUCAGUGGUGAAAUCUGGUCGCUCAACGAUCAAACGGCCAUUGAUACUGUUAGACUUGAAUUAUAAGGAAGUAACUAGAAUAUGUAGUGUAGCGGUGAAAUGCUUAGAUAUUACAUGGAAUACCAAUUGCGAAGGCAGGUUACUACUUAUGGAUUGACGCUGAUGGACGAAAGCGUGGGGAGCGAACAGGAUUAGAUACCCUGGUAGUCCACGCCGUAAACGAUGGAUACUAGCUGUUCGGAGCAAUNUNAGUGNGUAGAGAAGUAGAGAGUAGUACCACCGCGGAGGUAACGGUUCGUCGAAGAAGUAGAAACGUUACGAAGAAGUUAGAGGCGNGAGAGNGCGACGGACGACGACGAGGGAGGAGG